AUGGCCCCAAAGGUAACUUCUUUUUUUUUUUUUUUUUUUUUGGCUUGCUCCACAGCUCCCAGGCCAAGGUGCAAUUGCAACCCACCCGGUCCUUUAAGGCGAUGUGCCAGGAGGGGAUUGAACCUGUGUCCCAGCACUCCAGAGAUGCCGCUGAUCCUGUUGCACCAUAGGGGAAACUCCAAAAGCUUUUCUUGGCCCAAGCUGCAGGCUCUCAGAAGCUUGACAAACCAGCAUCGCCAUCUGGAGGACAGCAUGAGAAUCUGGAUUCUCAGCAUCUCUCGGAGCUUUGCCUGAGAAAUACCUCUUUUGCCAUCCUGAGUCCCAAGCCCAUCUCCCAGCGAAGCCUAUUUCCUAGCGCCUGUGGGAGCAGCAGUCUACACAGGCCCUGGGGAUGGUAGAAAGGCCUCACCCGAAGGGGCCCACUUUGGCCAUUGGACCUUGAAGCGGCUAAAGCAAAAAUAGAAAUUGAGACCACUCCAAAGAGGUGAGAUCCCUUCUUUGUGGUUUCCUCCAUGCUGGGCAGCCAGAACCAUUGGGCUAUGGAGAAAUUUGGACUGACAGGAUGCAACGGAAGCUCCCCUAGCCAGAGAAACUGUCCAGCCCUGGCACAGUGCUUCCAUUUCAUCCUGGCAGUGGCCAACUGGGACAGACCAUCACAUAUGGUAUCACAUGACGAUUCCCUGCUACACGCAGAAAGCAACAAUAAUAAAACCAUGAGUACUGCUGUCA
rnacentral:lncRNA from 1 species